UUUCAGCUCAUUUUCAGUUGCAGACGGAGACACUCCGAGGAGGUCGUACAAUUUCGUGUCGACAACAUUCGACAUGGUGUUGCUGUUGAUGUUGCUUCGGCAGGAGCUGGAUGGACAAAGAGAGAAGGAGCCGGUGGAAAAUGUUUGGCUCGCCUCGUGUCUCCAUUUCCGGAAAGUCAGGCCCGCCGCGUGUCCGCUGGUGCCCCCUGGCGUGGAUGUGCUUCAUGACUGAUGAGCUCACACACGAGAGUAAACAGGGUCACCACAGCACAUCAUCUGCCCCAUCUCACCCUCUUCAUAGCAUCCUCCUCUGCCACAUCACUCUUCCGUAUGUCAUCCUCCACUACAUCCAUAAACUUUAUCUGUUUUCAUCCCGCCUAGCAACUCCAUCUUUAACAUUCUUUGUCCAGUAUAUCCACUAUCCUUCCUCUGCACAUGUCCAAGAUUUCUUCACCUUGGUUCUCUAAUUUGUCUCCAAAGCAUUGGACUCAAGGUCCCUGUGAUAUACUCAUUUAUAAUCCUGUUCAUUCUGGUCAAUCUCAAUGAAAAUCUGAGAAUCUUUCAAUUCUGCCACUUCCAGCUCAAUCUCCUGUAUUUUUGUCAGUGCCACCAUCUCCAAGCAAUCCAUCAUGGCAGGUUUUACUUUGUAAACCUUCCAUUUCCCCUUUGCUAAUAUCCUUCUGUCACACCUCAUACUCAUCUCCACCCACUCCAGCCUGCCUGCAAUCUCUUCUUCACCUCUCUGUUGCUUUGGAUGGUUGAUCCCAGUGUUAGGCCUGGAGGGGGAUAUGAGAGCUUGUCCGUGCAGAUCUCCUCUUCCCGUCUCACUCCUCUUCUGAGUGGCCAUGCACAGUGCAAUAAUACUUCGACAAUAAACUCAUCCAAUCAAGUCACACCCUGUUAAUUAUAAAUGCUUAUUACUUGCUUCGUCGCAUGUAUUUACACACAUGUUGUAUACUCUUCUGUGUGUACUACAUAAUAAAAGGAUAAACUAGAACAAUCGCUGACUAAACAGGUUUAUUACCACAGUCACAGCACAUUACUCCAAUCCCAGAGAGGACAUCUCAGCUUUUCAAUUUCAUUUCAUUGCUUCUCUUCCAGAUCAUAUGAGUGGACACUGAUCUGAUUUAGAAGCAAAAUAAAUGUUUUGGAUAUUUAAAUUAGACACAUUAAAUUCUUUUUUUGGUACUUUAUUUAUGUUACAAUGAUUUCUGACUGAUUUUAUUUGACUUUUAAUUAACUCACAAGCUGUUGUAUAUCUCAGUUUAUAUGUGUAAAAACACUUUUUCAUGUCCAGAUUUGUGUCUUUAGCUCAAAUCUUAUCAGUCUAAUAAAAAUGAAUGCAGUGUGACUGCAGGUGGCGCUGCUUUUUUAUUAUUGCAUGUGUUUCUCAGAGAUGUUAA